UGCGGCUAUUCAAAUUAGCCACACAGUGGGAUGUAAGGAGCUCUCUGAUUGGUUGGACAGACACAGGCUGUCUGCUUGGAUUUUUCUAGCUCAUAGCUUCGCCCUGCUACGAAGCGUGUGUGCUUGUACAAAGGCCGUUCAGCCUUUGGAUUUACACUCGGCUCGACAUGGAUAUGUGAAGAAUGAAGGGACCCUGCAGCGAAACGGAGAGCUCAACCUCUGACUGAGUGCCUGUUUUCGCAGUCUGACCACCUGUUGAAGGGCUGUUUGAUGAUGAUUUGGAUUCCUCUGGGAGAUGAGGACACACCCACAUCUGUUCCAUACUGCAGCCAUUGAUGGUGUUAUGGCUCUGAGGCAGCUUUGGGCCAUCAGACGCACACACUGGAAAACCUUCAUGCAGGAGAGACGGCCUCAGUGAUUUAGGUUCAUAAGCGAGUUCAAACAUUUUCUGGCCUCUUAUCACUUAGAUUUCUUAGUCUUAAAAGUGAAUGCAUUUAAAGCAGGAACUGCGCACCUAGCCACCAGAAGUUUGGCAGCAUGAGUACUGUAAAGUUUUGUAGGGUCCUUGUUAAAAAUUCCACAAGCACCACACCACAUUUGUCAUAUAAAGUUCCAUUUUUUACAAUACAUUGUUGAAAUUCUCUCCUGCAUGAAGUCCAGGUGCUGGUUUUCCAUGCGCGUGGCUCUUGUGGUCCUCCAUAAUUUCUGACUGCAAGUAACUUUCUUAUAGAGGCGAACAGCAGGACUGAUUUUUGUUUACUGACUCUGGUCCUCGCUGGUUUCUAAGACGGCCUCAACAGUCCCCACAUAAACCUUAAAUUGUCGCUGAACUGGUAAACAAACACGAGACGGACAAACAUUGUCUCUGUUCACGUUAAUUUUAUAUACUGUUGUCACGUACGAGGCACACACACAACAGGAGUUUGUUGACAGCAAAGUAGGUUACAUUCCUCUCUCUCCCAACACGACCAUGAGUCUCUCCCACCUCCUUCCACUUCGCAUAAAACUCUAAUUUUAUACUCCCUACUACAGCAGGAAACUGAGUCAAAAACAACAUCACUCUGUUCACACCCGCCCUGUCCUUCUCGGCCGGGGGUGAACCACAGCGUGGCAAGCAUCGUGGGGUCCAGACUUAGGAGAGAGGGGCACUCCGGUUCCACACCGAUGAACUGAAAAACUUGGCCGUCAGGAAAAACAUAACACCCCCCCUCCUUCACAAAGACGCAAGCGAGUCACAGACUGGAGCAACAGCAGAUGAUGCUGUAGCGUGCAGCCUUCCUGUCUAAGUAAACAGUGAUUCAGACGGAUGAGGAGUGGGAGGCUGUGGUUUGCUCCAGCCUGGCAGCACCAAGCCUCUCCCAGCUCCACCACAACAGGAUAUGGUCCGUGGGCCCACACUGGCCAUGGUUGCUUCAUAAUAUUGUCUUCUCCAGCUUUUACCAUUUGGUUCGCCUGGUAAUAUUCAUGCACGCUGACUACCAUGUGAGAAGCUGGACCCAUGUUUCUGGAAAAUAUAUCUCACUGUGGUGUUUUUGACCAAAGUGACAGUGAGUGAGGUUACUUUCCCUUCUCAUCUGUGUCUUAUAUAACUCUACAUACGCAAGUCUGGAUAAGUGGGCACGGAGAAGAUUAGUAAUUAGGUUUCUGUGACUCAACAGAUGGUACAGUGCAGAUUUUAAGCACAACAGUUUACUAUGUAACCACCGCAUCUUUCCAAAACAGUAAUUUUCAAACAUAUUUCAACUUUAUGCUUUGAUGGGAAGGAAGAAAAUGUCAUAACUCAGUGAUAAUUUUAUAAAGUGUUUUGUUUCUAUGCUAUGGCUUACUCAACUCAGCCAGAGCAAGAUGUCCUUCAUCUUAGUCCACAAACUUUAUAUGACUGUCUUGGCUGACCGCUGGCUUGCCAGUAACAAUUUUAUAUGCGAUGAGCUGAUAAAAUAAACAGACAACCUACUGGAGCGUUACGUAAUGAAAGUGUCGAUUGUCGGCUGUUCCUCUUUGUGAAAGUUUCACUGCUGGGAUUUUACCAGUGAGA
ensembl:lncRNA